GGAAAAGAUAUAUCAAGAAGUGAUUUGGGACUAGAUCAAACGGCAAGGAAUACUUCAAGGGGAAGUUCUAACGACAAUUCAGUUGUUUAUGUGACUGUUAAUGGCGGCAAGAGAUUCAUUUUAUAGAUAUUUAACAGAAGAGAGUAAACAAAGUAUAGUGGAUUAUUUAAUCCGAUUGCAAAAAAUCAGUAAUUACAUGAUUGUUAUAUAAUUUUCCUUUCUCAAUUCAACAGUGAAAUUUAACAUGAAUUAAGGAUAAAUAAGCAACAAAAACAACAACUGUAAUGAUGAACUGAAUGAUAAAGUAAUUUUGUUCUUUAAAAAACCCCCCACAUUUAACUGGGAUUCAAAGCAGCAGUAUUAAAUUAUUCAAUAUCUUGGUAAAUUAUAAUGUUUUUUUUUUCAUUUUAUUUAUUUGUUGACUUAUGUAAAUAAACUGUAAUGUCGUUGUACAUUUAUUAUGAGGGGAUAACCAUAAUUACAAACAGUACAUGUAACUAUUUGUUUUGAAUGAAUUGAAUGCAAUCAUGUCCAUUUUUAUGUUGUAUAACCUUAUUUACAUAUUAUCAAGAAUUGUUAAUUUUUUUCUCAAGUUCUGAAGACCGUCUUUGAAAGUACAUGUUCAUGUAUGUUCACAGAAUAACAAAACUAUGGCUGCUUAAUUACACCCUAUGAUUUGUGUCAUAUGAUGAUAUUGUAUAUAACGGUAAACAAAUUAUAAGGUCUGAAACACACAGAAAAAAAUAUAUACAUGGGUGCAUUGGUUCAUGAUUAGCGGAAGGCCUGGUGUGUUCUGCACUCGUCUAGAAGCAAAUUAGACUUUGCAUCUCUAUUACUAUAGUCGGCAAGUGUGAAGUAAUAGUCGGCAACAUGGAGUCAGUAACGUUUUCUAUCAUUAUUUUUCUCUUUUUAUUCAUAUACCAACAUUUUGGCCCUUAAAAAAAUAAAACACUUCUUAGGUUUGUUACUGCCUACAAACGGAAAUAUGGUUUGUUAAAGAGAUUUAAAGAUUUCGCUUUGUUAGCCUCGCCUUCUAUGAACUCUAACAAUCUGACAUAUUUCUGUAGACAAUCAGCAUCAAACCUGAUAAGUAAUAAAAUAU
rnacentral:misc_RNA from 1 species